rnacentral:rRNA from 1 species
AUACGGAGGAUCCGAGCGUUAUCCGGAUUUAUUGGGUUUAAAGGGUGCGUAGGCGGGCUGUCAAGUCUGUGGUGAAAAGUCAGGGCUUAACCUUGAUCGUGCCGCGGAAACUGACGGUCUUGAAUAGGGAUGCCGUUGGCGGAAUGUGGAGUGUAGCGGUGAAAUGCAUAGAUAUUCCACAGAACACCGAUUGCGAAGGCAGCUGACGAAUCCCCGAUUGACGCUGAUGGACGAAAGUGCGGGUAUCGAACAGGAUUAGAUACCCUGGUAGUCCGCACAGUAAACGAUGAUAACUAGUUGUUGGCGAUAAACAGAUCAGUAACGGAGCGAAAGCGUUAAGUUAUCCACCUGGGGAGUACGACCGCAAGGUUGAAACUCAAAGGAAUUGACGGGG